rnacentral:piRNA from 1 species
UGGCCAAGGAUGUUGCUAAAUACCCUACAAU